rnacentral:rRNA from 1 species
GGGGGCAACCCUGGUGGCGAGUGGCGAACGGGUGAGUAAUACAUCGGAACGUGCCCAGUUGUGGGGGAUAACCUAGCGAAAGUUAGGCUAAUACCGCAUAAGCUCGGGAGAGGAAAGCGGGGGAUCGCAAGACCUCGCGCGACUGGAGCGGCCGAUGUCCGAUUAGCUAGUUGGUGGGGUAAAGGCUUACCAAGGCGACGAUCGGUAGCUGGUCUGAGAGGAUGAUCAGCCACACUGGGACUGAGACACGGCCCAGACUCCUACGGGAGGCAGCAGUGGGGAAUUUUGGACAAUGGGGGCAACCCUGAUCCAGCCAUGCCGCGUGAGUGAAGAAGGCCUUCGGGUUGUAAAGCUCUUUCGGUGGGAACGAAACGGUUACGGUGAAUAUCCGUGAUCAAUGACGGUACUCACAGAAGAAGCACCGGCUAACUACGUGCCAGCAGCCGCGGUAAUACGUAGGGUGCGAGCGUUAAUCGGAAUUACUGGGCGUAAAGCGUGCGCAGGCGGCUUCGAAAGCUAGGUGUGAAAGCCCCGGGCUCAACCUGGGAACUGCAUUUAGGACUGCGAAGCUCGAGUGCGGCAGAGGGAGGUGGAAUUCCACGUGUAGCAGUGAAAUGCGUAGAGAUGUGGAGGAACACCGAUGGCGAAGGCAGCCUCCUGGGCCGACACUGACGCUCAUGCACGAAAGCGUGGGGAGCAAACAGGAUUAGAUACCCUGGUAGUCCACGCCCUAAACGAUGUCGACUGGUUGUUGGGGAAGGCAACUUCCUUAGUAACGAAGCUAACGCGUGAAGUCGACCGCCUGGGGAGUACGGCCGCAAGGUUAAAACUCAAAGGAAUUGACGGGGACCCGCACAAGCGGUGGAUGAUGUGGAUUAAUUCGAUGCAACGCGAAGAACCUUACCUACCCUUGACAUGCCAGGAACCCCGGUGAGAGUCGGGGGUGCCCGAAAGGGAGCCUGGACACAGGUGCUGCAUGGCUGUCGUCAGCUCGUGUCUUGAGAUGUUGGGUUAAGUCCCGCAACGAGCGCAACCCUUGUCACUAGUUGCCACCGCAAGGGGCACUCUAGUGAGACUGCCGGUGACAAACCGGAGGAAGGUGGGGAUGACGUCAAGUCCUCAUGGCCCUUAUGGGUAGGGCUUCACACGUCAUACAAUGGCGCAUACAGAGGGUUGCCAACCCGCGAGGGGGAGCCGAUCCCAGAAAGUGCGUCGUAGUCCGGAUUGCAGUCUGCAACUCGACUGCAUGAAGUCGGAAUCGCUAGUAAUCGCGGAUCAGCAAUGUCGCGGUGAAUACGUUCCCGGGUCUUGUACACACCGCCCGUCACACCAUGGGAGUGGGUUUCACCAGAAGCAGCUAGCCUAACCGAAAGGGGGGCGGCUACCACGGUGAGAUUCAUGACUGGGGUGAAGUCGGAACAAGGUA